rnacentral:rRNA from 1 species
CAAGAGCGUAUAUUAAAGUUGUUGCAGUUAAAAAGCUCGUAGUUGGAUUUCUGGUAUAAUGCGCCUGGCCCGCUCCGUUUCGGAGUGAGUGCCGGUGCGCGUUUGCCAUCCUUCUAGAAAAUGUUUCUACCCUUCGCUGGGCCGGAUUCACGAUCUAGAUCUUUUUACUUUGAAAAAAUUAGAGUGUUUAAAGCAGGCUUUUGCUAUGAAUACAUUAGCAUGGAAUAAUAAUCUAGGACUUCGGUACUAUUUUGUUGGUUUCUAGGACCGAAGUAAUGAUUAAUAGGGACAGUUGGGGGCAUUCAUAUUCCAUUGUCAGAGGUGAAAUUCUUGGAUUAACGGAAGAUGAACUACUGCGAAAGCAUCUGCCAAGGAUGUUUUCAUUGAUCAAGAACGAAAGUUAGGGGAUCGAAGACGAUCAGAUACCA